ensembl:snoRNA U3 Small nucleolar RNA U3
AAGACUAUACUUUCAUGGAUAAUUUCUAUAGUUCUUUACCAGAGACACUUCUCUGACCAUGUAGAGUACUGGAAACCAUGAGGAGGAGACGUAGCAUUCAGUCUUGAGUGUAAAGCCAGCUGUUGAUGUUGCUCUGCUGCAAUCGCCACUUACCAUUGAUGAUGGUUCCUGCUAUCCUUCUGGGAGCUGAAAGGGAGAGGAUGCAGUCUGAGUGGG